GAUGAACGCUGGCGGCGUGCCUAAUACAUGCAAGUCGAGCGAACAGAUGAGGAGCUUGCUCCUCUGACGUUAGCGGCGGAAGGGUGAGUAACACGUGGAUAACCUACCUAUAAGACUGGGAUAACUUCGGGAAACCGGAGCUAAUACCGGAUAAUAUAUUGAACCGCAUGGUUCAAUAGUGAAAGACGGUUUUGCUGUCACUUAUAGAUGGAUCCGCGCCGCAUUAGCUAGUUGGUAAGGUAACGGCUUACCAAGGCAACGAUGCGUAGCCGACCUGAGAGGGUGAUCGGCCACACUGGAACUGAGACACGGUCCAGACUCCUACGGGAGGCAGCAGUCGGGAAUCUUCCGCAAUGGGCGAGAGCCUGACGGAGCAACGCCGCGUGAGUGAUGAAGGUCUUCGGAUCGUAAAACUCUGUUAUUAGGGAAGAACAAAUGUGUAAGUAACUAGGCACGUCUUGACGGUACCUAAUCAGAAAGCCCCGGCUAACUACGUG
rnacentral:rRNA from 1 species